ensembl:lncRNA
GGAAGAGUUGCAUUUGUAGAGUGUGUUUGUCGCCAUGUCGUCAAAACGCUGUUAUUUUCAUCCCGGAGUCCAAUCACCUUUGUUUGGCCUUCCCAGGGACGCUGUACUUAGAGAUCAAUGGUUACAAUUUAUGUUUAACUCGGUUCCCGAAAAUUAUAAUCCACAUGUAAAACUAUGUGCAGCACAUUUUGCUAAGGACAGCUUCCUCAAUCUCAAUCAGUUUAAUGCCGGAUUCGCACAAAGAUUAUUUUGAAAGAUGGAGCAGUUCCCUCUUUGUCUGGAGAAGGCGUUGUUUAUGGACCACAACCGGUAAGUGUAUUUUAUUAUUUAAGUUGGUGCGUUUAACAGAUUCUGUAACUUAUUACACAAAGGGCAACGCUGUUUAGCUUUGUUAACUAGAUGGUAAUUGAAACUAAUCUGACAAAAAAUUUUAAAAAGUGUAGUAAUUCAACCGGACACCAUUGAUUGUUGGUGUUUGUAAUGAUCAGUUUAAAUUAUUUGUUGAUUAUAUCUAUUGUUUACUGUUUAACCACAUGCUGGUUUAGCUGCAGCCAUGCGAAUCAUUGUUCUAUGUUUAGGCCUAUGUAACGUUACCUACUGUAGGAAAGCCAUGUUUGUUUCCUAUUUAUUGCGAAGCUAUUAUGCUACAGUAGUCAUAUAUACGAAAAUGUAACUGUGCUAAACAGUAACAAACAAUAAAUAUCCACAGUUUUUUAUGUAAUAAUCUAUUGAAGAACCAUGUUAGUAAAUUUAUUAUAGAGAAUGCAUGCCUGUUUUUGUAUUUUUUGCUUUGUUUCUGUUGUAUUCUGAUAAAUGUCAAUUAAAUAUGUCAUUUCUGUUGAACAUGGAAAAUGUGUACAUUGGUAUUACUUCAUAAUUAAAUACACAUUUGAAAUAUUUGUUACAGAGUUCAUCUCAGCAGGGACCACGUUCCCAAGAGCUCCCUGCAACAUCUUCUGUACAUGAAGCUGGAUGUCAGACAGACUCUGCAAACACCGAAACAUUGGCCAUACAGAUAUCAGCAAAGAUGCGAUCAGUGGGCACACAACUUUCUGUUGGUACACUGAGGGAUGUCCACAUAAGAAGCAAAGGCAUUCAGGCAACAGUUUCCAGUCUUUUAUAUAGGAAUGUUGUGCAGGUUGUAUCUCGCAGCCAUGUACUACAAUGAGAAUGCCCAGCGUCCACAGGCAACAACAACACAAGGAGAGGCUGUUUUCAAAAUCACUUUUCCGAAGUCAAAACAAGGGGAAUGCACAGCCAAGACCCAACAUUUAACUAUGUCGAUGACCUGAUGAGUCUUCUACUACACAAAGUCAUUGUGGACCCAACACCAUAUGUAGAAGAACUACAUCAGAUCACCAUUCCACCUCCCCUGUCAUCAGAGUUUGAAAAACCCUGCAAGAAAGAUGUCAUUGCCCCCCAUGUGUCUCGGUUUAGUCAAGGGGUGGCCGAAAUCCAACGUACUGUCCAGCUGGAUCAGGAAACUGCUGGUG